rnacentral:rRNA from 1 species
UAGGGAAUCUUCCACAAUGGACGCAAGUCUGAUGGAGCAACGCCGCGUGAGUGAAGAAGGUUUUCGGAUCGUAAAGCUCUGUUGUUGGUGAAGAAGGAUAGAGGUAGUAACUGGCCUUUAUUUGACGGUAAUCAACCAGAAAGUCACGGCUAACUACGUGCCAGCAGCCGCGGUAAUACGUAGGUGGCAAGCGUUGUCCGGAUUUAUUGGGCGUAAAGCGAACGCAGGCGGAAGAAUAAGUCUGAUGUGAAAGCCCUCGGCUUAACCGAGGAAUUGCAUCGGAAACUGUUUUUCUUGAGUGCAGAAGAGGAGAG